AUUGAACGCUGGCGGCAGGCCUAACACAUGCAAGUCGAGCGAGCGGCGGACGGGUGAGUAAUGUCUGGGAAACUGCCUGCUGGAGGGGGAUAACUACUGGAAACGGUAGCUAAUACCGCAUACCAUCAGAUGUGCCCAGAUGGGAUUAGCUAGUAGGUGGGGUAAUGGCUCACCUAGGCGACGGUCCCUAGCUGGUCUGAGAGGAUGACCAGCGACACUGGAACUGAGACACGGUCCAGACGCCUACGGUGGGAAGCAGUGGGGACUAUUGCACAAUGGGCGCAAGACUGAUGCAGCCAUGCCGCGUGUGUGAAGAAGGCCUUCGGGUUGUAAAGUACUUUCAGCGAGGAGGCGUUACUCGCAGAAGAAGCACCGGCUAACUCCGUGCCAGCAGCCGCGGUAAUAC
rnacentral:rRNA from 1 species